CCGCGUUUUUUCCCACGCCAAACUCGACGGCGGCGACGGAGGUUACGUGUGAAAAAGAUUACGCGCGAAACGCAACGCAGCGCGCGAAAGAAAAAAAACCGUUGCCGGGUCCACAUUGAGUAUGCUCAGGGGCGGGCCUAGGACUAGGGCCAAUAGGGCCAUGGCCCUAGUCGUGGCCCAAAAUUUUUAGAAGCAAUUCUUCAAUUUUGGCUCAAGAAAGAAGCCUAUUAAAAAAAAAUAGGACAAACCAAAGAAACUCAGGCCUCACUCAGCCAGGAGCACCGCGCGUCGUCGCUCGCGCUCGCGUGCACCCCAUCUCGCACACGCCCCGCCGCGGCGCCGCCCCCCUACACGCCGCCGCUCCGGCCUGGUGGCUCGCGCGCCCUCGCCUGGCUCAGCUCCGGCCUCCCUCCUCUGCUCGCUGCUUCGAUCUUGAUCUGCUCGUUGCCUCGGCCUCGACCACAUCCAGACGGGCGGCCAGACGCGCUCAGCGCUCGCAGCUCGGCUGCUCGUCCCUCACGGUGGCCAGGGGCCCUCGCGCUCAGACCUCCGAGUAGCCUCGAACUUAUCGGAGCCGUGGAGUCCAAACCAGGGGUGGCCUACGGCCAAAGCCCAGAGGCUCAGAACUCAGAAGCGCCCGCGCCCGCGCCCGCCCCUGCCGAAGCCUGUUCGGCGGUCUAGGUGCCCACUGAGUGAAGAUAAAGAGGACGAGGACUAUUGCAUCGUAUUUCUCUCGAUAGGUAUUUAUUUUUUUUCAAUAUUUAUUUCAUAGCUAUUUUAUCGUACUAUUAAUUAUAUAGUUCAAGAAUUUCUCUGGAUUUACAAACUUUGUUUGAGAAAUUUUAUUUUCUGUGAUAUACAUAUAUGUGUAUAUAUAUGGUCCUAUAAAAUAUACUAUAGACUGUA